CCUACGGGAGGCAGCAGUAGGGAAUCUUCCACAAUGGACGAAAGUCUGAUGGAGCAACGCCGCGUGAGUGAAGAAGGUUCUCGGAUCGUAAAACUCUGUUGUGAGGGAAGAACAAGUACCGGAGUAACUGCCGGUACCUUGACGGUACCUCAUUAGAAAGCCACGGCUAACUACGUGCCAGCAGCCGCGGUAAUACGUAGGUGGCAAGCGUUGUCCGGAACCAUUGGGCGUAAAGCGCGCGCAGGCGGUCCCUUAAGUCUGAUGUGAAAGCCCACGGCUCAACCGUGGAGGGUCAUUGGAAACUGGGGGACUUGAGUGCAGAAGAGGAAAGCGGAAUUCCAAGUGUAGCGGUGAAAUGCGUAGAGAUUUGGAGGAACACCAGUGUCGAAGGCGGCUUUCUGGUCUGUAACUGACGCUGAGGCGCGAAAGCGUGGGGAGCAAACAGGAUUAGAUACCCUGGUAGUCCACGCCGUAAACGAUGAGUGCUAAGUGUUAGGGGGUUUCCGCCCCUUAGUGCUGCAGCUAACGCAUUAAGCACUCCGCCUGGGGAGUACGGUCGCAAGACUGAAACUCAAAGGAAUUGACGG
rnacentral:rRNA from 1 species